rnacentral:rRNA from 1 species
CCUACGGGAGGCAGCAGUGAGGAAUAUUGGUCAAUGGGCGGAAGCCUGAACCAGCCAAGUAGCGUGCAGGAUGACGGCCCUACGGGUUGUAAACUGCUUUUAUACGGGAAUAACGCGCCUUACGUGUAGGGCUUUGCAUGUACCGUAUGAAUAAGGACCGGCUAAUUCCGUGCCAGCAGCCGCGGUAAUACGGGAGGUCCGGGCGUUGUCCGGAUUUAUUGGGGUUAAAGGGAGCGUAGGGCGCAUGUCAAGCGUGCUGUGAAAUGUCCGGGCUCAACCCGGGCCUUGCAGCGCGAACUGGCGUGAUUGAGGCCGCGGAAAGCAGGCGGAAAUCGUCGUG